GAUGAAGAACGCAGCGAAUUGCGAUAAGUAAUGUGAAUUGCAGAUACUCGUGAAUCAUUGAAUUUUUGAACGCACAUUGCGCCCUUGAGCAUUCUCAGGGGCAUGCCUGUUUGAGCGUCAUUUCCUUCUCAAAAGAUAAUUUAUUAUUUUUUGGUUGUGGGCGAUACUCAGGGUUAGCUUGAAAUUGGAGACUGUUUCAGUCUUUUUUAAUUCAACACUUAGCUUCUUUGGAGACGCUGUUCUAGCUGUGAUGUAUUUAUGGAUUUAUUCGUUUUACUUUACAAGGGAAAUGGUAACGUACCUUAGGCAAAGGGUUGCUUUUAAUAUUCAUCAAGUUUGACCUCAAAUCAGGUAGGAUUACCCGCUGAACUUAAGCAUAUCAAUAAGCGGAGGA
rnacentral:misc_RNA from 1 species